AUAUGCUCGGCUCCCUGUAUGCCAUUCCCAGAGCCCACCAGUAUCACCGGUGACCUCCGUGAAUGGCGUAUGAGGAGCCAAGCAUAUU
rnacentral:pre_miRNA from 1 species